UACAGGGGGUGCAAACGUUGCUCGGAAUUAUUGGGCGUAAAGCGCGCGCAGGCGGUCCUUUAAGUCUGAUGUGAAAGCCCACGGCUCAACCGUGGAGGGUCAUUGGAAACUGGGGGACUUGAGUACAGAAGAGGAAAGCGGAAUUCCACGUGUAGCGGUGAAAUGCGUAGAGAUGUGGAGGAACACCAGUGGCGAAGGCGGCUUUCUGGUCUGUAACUGACGCUGAGGCGCGAAAGCGUGGGGAGCAAACAGG
rnacentral:rRNA from 1 species